rnacentral:snoRNA from 1 species
UGGUGAUAUGCAUGUUAUAUUGUCUUGAAGAGAAAAAAUUACAUUAAAAAUGUGCUAAAUUGAACUAUUCUGAGACCC